rnacentral:rRNA from 1 species
GCGACCUCGGUGCCAGCGGCGGCGGUCAGACGGAGGAUCCAAGGGUGAGCCGGAAGUACUGGGCGUAAAGAUUUGCGGAGGUGGCAUGGGAAGCUAGUAGUGAAAGCGUUCGGCUCAACCGAAUAAACAGUACACGAACUGCCAAGCUAGAGGAUGAGAGAGGUAGCUGGAAUUCCUAGUGUAGGGGUAAAAUCCGUUGAUAUUAGGAGGAACACCGAUGGCUUAAGCAGGCUACUGGCUCAUUCCUGACACUCAGGCACGAAAGCGUGGGGAGCAAACGGGAUUAGAUACCCUGUAGUC